rnacentral:rRNA from 1 species
AACGAACGCUGGCGGCGUGCCUAACACAUGCAAGUCGAGCGAGAAAGCCCGCAAGGGUGAGUACAGCGGCGCACGGGUGCGUAACACGUGAGUAAUCUGCCCUGGAGCCCGGAAUAACCUCCCGAAAGGGAAGCUAAUGCCGGAUGAGCCCACGGGGUCUUCGGACCCAGAGGGAAAAGGCGGCCUCUGUAUACAAGCUGUCACUUCAGGAUGAGCUCGCGGCCCAUCAGCUAGUUGGCGGGGUAAUGGCCCACCAAGGCUACGACGGGUAGCUGAUCUGAGAGGACGAUCAGCCACACUGGGACUGAGACACGGUCCAGACUCCUACGGGAGGCAGCAGUGGGGAAUCUUGCGCAAUGGGCGAAAGCCUGACGCAGCAAUGCCGCGUGUGUGAUGAAGGUCUUCGGAUCGUAAAGCACUGUCGCGAGGGACGAAUAAGGCGCACGCUAACAUCGUGCGACGAUGACGGUACCUCGAGAGGAAGCACCGGCUAACUCUGUGCCAGCAGCCGCGGUAACAC